AGUCUUUGGAGAUAGAAGGUAAUCCGGCUAUAAAAUCAAGGAGACUUAAUAAUAUAAAUUGCCAAUUGCCCAAUACUUCUGCCUUUUUUUUUUUCUUCUUUUUUUUUUUUUCAGUGCCUGAGCUUUUAGAUGAGUUUGGCUCCAACCUAAGUUAAUACCUUGUGUUUGGAAUGUGAUUAAUAGUAGGCUCAGUUUAAUUGCCUGGGACUUGUUCUAAGAGACAUCCCUGCUAGCUGAUGACUUGUAUAAUGUUCACAAACCUUCCAAUCCCCACAUGACAAACUGAUCCUUUUGUAUCGUAUGUUUAGGAAGCAUCAUUCUAUUGGCACAAACCACAAAUACUAGUUGAGGAUACUCGGCGGUUCUGAGCUGAGCUCUUCCUUUCCUGUAUCUUCUGUAAGACCUGGAGGCAGACAGCACCUCUGAGAUCGGAGGCAAGAGGAGGAUCAAGAAACUGAAUCAGAAUCAAGGAUCAACAUCUUAAUAACGAGGGAAUACUUUCUUUAAAGCUUUAUUUAAAUGAUUGCUAUGGUUACAAGCUCUGUAACCAGGAUACUCCAGUUACACAAAUAGUAAUUGAGUUUAGCCUGCUUUUCAAUCUCAAUUUUCUGCCAAAGAAUAUAUUGAACUGCGUGGGAGUCUUUCCUCGCCGUCGGGCAGCCUUUCCCAUCGGCGCAGUCAGCGCUAGGUGGGCUGGCCGGCCCGACGGCGGAAAGGGAGCAGGCUGCAGACCUUGGCGUCCGGCCGGGGAGGACAUGGGAACUGAACGGUCGGUAGCAAAAUAUGGCGCAAGCUGUAAUCCAGUGCUGAAGGCAGUGCAGCAGCUGGGCUGGUCGGAGUACAAGUGCAGAGUAAGGGGCGUUUUCUGUCAAAAGUUUUAUGGCAGACUUUCCUGACGUUUUUGUAAGCGGUGCUUGUACCUUGUUCAAUUUAACUUCCCAGGGCUGUGACCGGGAGAGUCCCUGUUCUGCUUCUUCACCUCUUCCCUCCCACCUGUGCUGGGGCAUGGACCUGGCUCCUUCCAGACCCACCGAGCUGGCUCGGCACCUCAGUGCUUGCAGGUACAGGAUGCAACGCGCAGAGCCUGAAGCCAGCCCUGGAGAGGGCCAGCAUGGGUAUGACUGAGCUGAGUGAUUUUGCCUCUCUGUUCUGCCUCCCUCAACUGUAAUAUGCUUGUGACCUGCUUCUGAGGACUAUUUAUCUUAAAGGUUUGCAUGGCAAAGGAAGGAAAAAAGGAAUGACCCUUAACUGCCCCUACUGCUGCAUGUCAAUGGCAUAAUACCUGUUGCCCAGGGGAACAUAAAGCAUCGCGAGCUUGCUCAAGUUCCCUGCGCCACACGGAUAUCUCGUCAGGGUCCUUGCUUCAUUACUCGUGCACUGGAAGAAGAUCGGUGGGGGCAUACUGUUACUGCCGUGAUGUGCCUGCUUAGUGCGAGGCAUCGUGCCCGUGGAGGUGGAGCAGCUAUGCAGCAGGUGGAGCAGGAUCACCCAGGCAUCUUUCUGCUCUUUGGGAAGAUCCUAAUUGAAGGAGCUUUCAAGCAGCUGCCCAUCUGUGGCUGGAACAAAGGAGAAAGGAGUGCUUGCAGCAGAGCUGGGAAGCCAAGCCAGGAUUUUGGCAAUGUAGCUGUCCUCUGUCUCCUGAAGUCCGUGGAAAUGGUGGUGUGCCUGUUUAUGCCAGAAGAGGAUUUCUACUAGGGCUUCAGAUAAUUGCUGGACAUCAGAAAUUCAGAGUAUAGGAAGAAAAGAAUCAGAAAUCUGACUCAUACAGUAAGGUGAGGACAUUUGUCUGAAGGCUGAAGGCAUGAAAGAGGUGAUGGGAGAAUUAACAUUUUGCUUUCCCUCUGGAGAGCAUACAGCAGAGCAUGGCUGCAGGGAGGAAUAUCCUGAUGCAACAGACUGGGGGAAAGGUGGACUUAACAUUUUGGGGAAGAUGGGGAGAGCUUCAAUGAAGGUCUUUGAUGGCGAGUUUAGUUUACUUGCAAUAUAAAAUUUGGCUUGGGAGAAACUGUUGUCAAGUACAAAGGGCUUCCUUUGGUCUCUCUUUCUUCUCAUUACCAUCACUAGGAGUUAAUACCGGUAGCACUGAGCACAGCCCAGUGCAAGAACAACUAGAGAGGGGAGUCUGUGGGUUGCACUCAGCCUUUGCCGAGGAUUGUGUCUGCACGCUGGCACUCUCCUCCGCGGGGAUGGCAGUGUUGUCGCAGCCUCACUGGAGGUCUGUUAUUUGUGUGGAUUUUGGCACACUCUGCGUCUGACCUUCUCUAAUGAAAAUGUGCUGGCAGGAGCGGAGCACGGGAGAGCCCAGCCCUGCUCCGCUCCUGGGCUGAGAGCACGGCUGCCCUGUUGUCCCUUUGCUGCUCGGCUGCCACCUCUGUGCAAACAGACACACACCUACACCUAAAGCAGCUGGACUUCCAGGCCAGAUUAUUAUUGAAUCCUCUCUCCCCACUGCGCUCAGCUGCCGAUUAGUGGAAACGUAGUUUUGUGAGCCAAGCCAGAGAGAGUGGGCCAAAUUUUAAAGUGGGUGUGUAUAAUCUUCAGAAAAAAUACUGUGCAACUGUGAACUCUCAUUUUUUUUUGAUUGUUUUGACGGAGGUCAGGGCACAAUAAACGUGCAUGUGAGAACUGG